rnacentral:misc_RNA from 1 species
UAGUAAUUGUUUUUUUUUUUUAUAUGUCUCAACAAUUUUAAUCAGAAAGUGUUAAAAAAUUUAAAUCAUAUUUUAAUUAUAAAAACUCUAAAAUAAUAAAAUAAUUUUAUUUUUCGUUCCCAUGCCAUGUUUUCCCUUCAAAAUAAUAUGGUCUACGAAAUCGUUUUCAGUGCAAGCCUUGCUGCUGGCUAUAUUGAACAAUAUGGAAAACUUAAGCGAGACAAAGGCAUAGGAGUCCUCCAUUUUCAUGAAGACUGUACAAAUGUGUGUAAAAAUACUAAACAAUACAAAACUAUAUAAACUACAAGACUAAUAGAUUAAGAAAAUUAUGGUCAAAUGCUUCCUGCAAAAUCAUGAAUCCUCUGUUCAUUACACACAUGGGGAAAAUAAAUCGUUUGGAUCCUUGAUGCUUCACUUUAAGAAAAG